UUUACCAUUUUCAGACAAAAAUCAAUAUGCUGAGUGUGUAAGAGUUGUGGACACGUAUGAAACAAUUAAACAAUGUGACUUGGAAACCUACAGUUGAUCAAAAUCUAACCAACAUAACCGAUUUCGCCAGAACUAGCACUAUCACAGGAGGAAAGUACUUCUGUAACAAUAUUUGAUAUGGUAAGCAAUCGUCAAGUACGUACAGCCUGGAACCCAGAUCAGUUUCUGUAUGAAAUUGUGAGGGAUUAUGAUAUAAACAAUUUUGAGAUGAUUAAAGAUGAAGAAGGAAGGGCAGACCUAUCUUCAAGAGUUUGUAAUCGGUGGAUGUUCUGGGUUAUCCCCAGAAGAGAUAUACGUGCGUUGCUGCGAUAUUGUCCAAGUAAGAAUGCACUAGCUCAAAUUUCUGGGCCAUAUACUUCGCCUUCCAGAUAAUGAGCCUGUGAAAGAAUACGGCUUGUAUGUACAACCGUAUGGAAAGAGAAAACCUGGUCACCUGAGAAUUCUGUUUUUACAAUAUAUCCAGCGCUUCUUGGGUGAUCCUGAGGGAAUGCUGCAGCCACACCAAAUUAUCCCAAUUGCCCAAGAUUGCAAAAGCUGGAAAAAAACUUGUGGUCCGAAUUAAAAGGCCGAUUAGAUCCUCGAUCAGGGUUUCUUAAUAAUAAUCCCUGGUAGAAUUCACAGGGAGAGUGGCUAUGGCUUAAAGCUCCAAAUUGUGCUUAUAGAUCACAAUUAAGGAUAGGUAAUCAAAGGUCAUUUGGAUAGGCUAAUUAUUAUUUUUAGUCCAACUAACGCAUGGUAUUGGAAGAUCCUGGCCUGGGGAAAAUGCCCUCUCUCCCGCGCCACAACUGGAUAGUGAAGGUUAAUUUUUAAAAUCUGUUAAUGUUAGCUACUCAGGCAUACUUCUACCAAACAAACAAAACACAGCAGCGUGCACUAUCACAACAACGGUGGCAACUAGGAGAGUGACAUAUUUUCAAACAGGACUGUGCUCUCUUCCCUGUCAGUACACAUCUAGUAUUUAAAUUAUUUAAUGAAGUUAUGAUUUAUUUCCUGAUAUUUAUUAUGUAUUAUAAAAUUUGUUAUAUUAUGUACCAGUUUUAUAAAAU